AACGCACAUAGCGCCCGCCAGCUCUCUGGCGGGCAUGCCCGUCCGAGCGUCGAUUACACCGCUCGAGCGCGCCUCCCUACCCGGGGAGGUCGUCGCUCGGUGUUGGGGCAGUAGGGGGGAAGUCUCUCCCCUACGCCCCCAAAAGCAUUGCGCGGCCCUCGCAUCAGGACCCAAGCACAGUAAACUUCUCACGUUGAGCUGCUUAGGGACACCUACGCCGAGGCGCCAGCCGUAAAACCCCCAACAUAGGCCUGCUCGCCAGGCCGCCUGAUGUUGACCUCGGAUCGGGUAGGACGACCCGCUGAACUUAA
rnacentral:misc_RNA from 1 species